rnacentral:rRNA from 1 species
GACAGAGGGUGCAAACGUUGCUCGGAAUCACUGGGCGUAAAGGGCGUGUAGGCGGGAAGGAAAGUCAGAUGUGAAAUCCCCUGGGCUCAACCCAGGAACUGCAUUUGAAACUCCCUUUCUUGAGUACCGGAGAGGAAGGUGGAAUUCCUGGUGUAGAGGUGAAAUUCGUAGAUAUCAGGAGGAACACCGGUGGCGAAGGCGGCCUUCUGGACGGUAACUGACGCUGAGACGCGAAAGCGUGGGGAGCAAACAGG